UGCCAGCAGCCGCGGUAAUACAGAGGGUGCGAACGUUGUUCGGAAUUACUGGGCGUAAAGCGCGUGUAGGCGGCGGCGCAAGUCGGAUGUGAAAGCCCACGGCUCAACCGUGGAAGUGCAUUCGAAACUGCGUGGCUAGAGUCCUGGAGAGGAAGGUGGAAUGCUUGGUGUAGAGGUGAAAUUCGUAGAUAUCAAGCGGAACACCGGUGGCGAAGGCGGCCUUCUGGACAGUGACUGACGCUGAGACGCGAAAGCGUGGGGAGCAAACAGGAUUAGAUA
rnacentral:rRNA from 1 species